CGUCGCCGCGGGAAUACAGAGGGUGCGAGCGUUAAUCGGAUUUACUGGGCGUAAAGCGUGCGUAGGCGGCUUCUUAAGUCGGAUGUGAAAUCCCUGAGCUUAACUUAGGAAUUGCAUUCGAUACUGGGAAGCUAGAGUAUGGGAGAGGAUGGUAGAAUUCCAGGUGUAGCGGUGAAAUGCGUAGAGAUCUGGAGGAAUACCGAUGGCGAAGGCAGCCAUCUGGCCUAAUACUGACGCUGAGGUACGAAAGCAUGGGGAGCAAACAGGAUUAGAUACCCGAGUAGUCCCUGUCUCUUAUACA
rnacentral:rRNA from 1 species